CCCGAGUCUGAUACCGGUACCCAUUGAUUGCUUCCUGGUGAUUGGGUCCUGGUUAAGAAAUUUGUGAGAAAACACCCUCUUGAUCCAAGAUAUAAUGGUCCCUACCAAGUCCUCCUAGUUACAGCCACUUCUGUUAAAUUGGCAGGGAAAAGCACCUGGAUACAUGCUUCCCAUUGCAAGAAGGUUCCGGCUCCAGAGGAGGUGGACUGUCCUAAG